CAGGAGGGUAUGAACUCUAACUUCUGCUGCUUAAUGGUGGCUCUGAGUUCCCAGUUCGAUGGUUCAGAUGUGAGGCGCUGCUGUGCAUCAGGUGACUGUGUUAGUAAGUGCUUACAAGAGCCUGUAGGCUUGGGCCAAGGCUCCUCAAAAGACUGCACAUACUCUCAAUCAGAUUUAAUCCAGGACACAAGAAUUUACAAGAUUGGCCCACACUGGACGCCCACAGAGUCAGAUGUGAAAGAACUGAAAGAUCUGUCUAUGCAGUACAUACUGAAAGAUCUAGCCGAGGGCCUGCAGCCCAGGGAAAUGUCCUGCAGGAGUCUGCAUCAGGAGGCUGAAGGACCCCAGACAAAAGACAGAGGGGUCUGCACCAGGAGGUCAAAGGAUCAGUGCUAGAAGCUAAAGAGUGUGUGGAAAGACAGGAGACAAUGUCCCAGGGGAAGGCAAAGAACAGAGCUCCUCCUCCGAAGAAAACUACCAAAGCUCCUCCUCUUAGGAAAAUCAGCCGCAACAAAGCUCUUCAAGGAAAAUCAGCUGAAAUCUUUCCCUCACAUUCUCCCUUGCACACCUUUCCACAACAGUCCUGAAGGUGAGGCCUCCAGGCCCAGAACCAUGCUGACUCAAUUCAGCUGGGCCUGCCCCACUCAAGCUGACUAUCAGUUCAUUCACCACCCCAGUACCC
rnacentral:lncRNA from 1 species